rnacentral:tRNA from 1 species
UGCCGGAUGGUGUAAUGGUAGCACUGCUGGUUCUGGACCAGUAUGUCUAGGUUCGAAUCCUAGUCCGGCAACCA